rnacentral:lncRNA from 1 species
ACUAGUACUUUUGAAUAUUAAAUUAGUGAUUAUUUAAUAAUUUUAAGCAAUCACAAACCUGCUCAUAAUUGCGCAUUUGCCCUUGGCUCUUUGCUGAAAAAGGGCAAAUAAGUGUGCGCUUUUUCAUUUUCUAUAAAAGGAAAUUAUUUGAUUUCACAGAUAAUUUGUCCAUAAAAGGACUGAAUUUUAUUGAGAGAUUAUUAAAUAUGGCCAUAUAAUGUAACUGAUUAAAGAUACAAUUACCAAUUUACCACUUCAUAAAUGAUUCACAGGCACAACUGAAACCCAUAUGGCAUACUAAAUUUAUCUCUUCGAAAAUCUAAUAAUAUGGCCUUUGACGUUUACCGUUCAUCUACGUUGAUUGUUCAUGAGAUAUUUUAAAAACCCAGUUCUGUCCUUACAUUGAUGGUUCAUAAUAUUCAACAAACACAUAACUGGGAGCUUGCUACGGUACAUUAUCUGUUACGUAUACACCCAAUGGUUGAAGGACACACAUGCACAGGAGAGAGAAAUUGCUUACCAAAUGGCAAAUGCACCCCUUGUGGAGCUGGCUAAGGUGCAGCAGUUAGGUACAGCGUCUGCAACGUAGCCUUAUGCACAUAACUGAUAUCACAUUUUUGAGAUGCGAAAGAGUUUUAAGGGAAAUAAUAAUAAUAAAAUAUCGUCUUUUGCGUAUCAAACACUUAAAAUUUUAAUUAGGUUUUUACACUUAUAUUAAUUUUUAAAACGAGUGACAUUACCUCAAUUAGAUUUUACUAGACAAUAAAUAAAGAACAUAAUCAAAUUUAAAUGAGUGACGAUACAUUUUUUUAAUUCAAGAUGGAGGACAUUAUAUACGGCGGUAGAAUGUCAUUAUUACACAUGAUACCAAACUAUACUUUACAUAAGAUACCCAAAAAUAAUUAUGUAUUAUAUAAAAUGAACUAGCCAAAAUAUUUAUGAGCAUUGUUUUGAUAAAAUUGACAUUUUUCUUUUAAAGGUAGAGAAAUAAAUAAAGUUAAAAUUAAUUUUUUGGUUCCUAUCUCCAUCAAGAUUUAGUGCCGUGUUGGUGUGGAUUACGUAACGAUUAUAAGUGUUAAGGAUGAUGAUGGGGUGGGGGUGGGGGUGGGGAGGCCUACCAUAUUAUAAAUUUCGUCUUCGUUCUCCACCCCAUCCCCUAAUAAAUUUAGUAAAGUGGGGAUGAGGAAUCUCCAUGUGGGAAAUAAUUUCUUCAUCGUCACCCCAUUUUUCAUUUACUUAUUUUAUAAUAAGUAUGGGCAAGUAAUUUCAGUACAUUAAAAAUUAGAGACUGGAAUAAAAUCAUUACUAUAUUAUAAAGUAUUUAAAUUAUUUAACAAAUCUCCAAACGGUUGAAAUAAUAUCUUGAAAUUAUAUCAAA